GAUGAACGCUGACAGAAAGCUUAACACAUGCAAGUCAACUGUGGCGGACCGGUGAGUAACGCGUAAAGAACUUGCCUCACAGUUAGGGUCAACCUUUGGAAACGAAUGCUAAUAUCUGCUACUGUGAGAGAGCUUUGCGUCCCAUUGGCUAGUUGGAGAGGUAACGGCUCACCAAGGCGAUGAUGGGUAGCCGGCCUGAGAGGAUGAUCGGACACAAGGGGACUGAGACACGGCCCUUACUCCAACGGGAGGAAGCAGUGAGGAAUAUAGGACAAUGGGCCAAAGUGUGAUCCAGCAAUUCUGUGUGAACGAUGAAGUUUUCGGAAUGUAAAGAGCUUUCAGUUGGGAAGCGGUUCCAGAAGAAGAAGUGACGGCUAAAUACGUGCCAGCCGCCGCGGUAAUUC
rnacentral:rRNA from 1 species